UGGGGAAUUUUCCGCAAUGGGCGAAAGCCUGACGGAGCAAUACCGCGUGAGGGAGGAAGGUUCUUGGAUUGUAAACCUCUUUUCUAGGGGAAUAAAAAAAUGAAGGUACCCUAGGAAUAAGCAUCGGCUAACUCCGUGCCAGCAGCCGCGGUAAUACGGAGGAUGCAAGCGUUAUCCGGAAUUAUUGGGCGUAAAGAGUCCGUAGGUGGAAGUUCAAGUCUGUCGUUAAAGAAUGGAGCUUAACUCCAUAGAGGCGGUGGAAACUGAACAACUAGAGUGCGGUAGGGGUAACGGGAAUUCCCAGUGUAGCGGUGAAAUGCGUAGAUAUUGGGAAGAACAUCGGUGGCGAAAGCGCGUUACUGGGCCGAAACUGACACUGAGGGACGAAAGCUAGGGUAGCGAAAGGGAUUAGAUACCCCUGUAGUCCUAGCCGUAAACGAUGGAUACUAGGCGUAGCACGUAUCGACCCGUGCUGUGCCGAAGCUAACGCGUUAAGUAUCCCGCCUGGGGAGUACGCUCGCAAGAGUG
rnacentral:rRNA from 1 species